rnacentral:rRNA from 1 species
AGGACGAACGCUGGCGGCGUGCUUAACACAUGCAAGUCGAGCGGAAAGGCCCUUCGGGGUACUCGAGCGGCGAACGGGUGAGUAACACGUGGGCAACCUGCCCCUAGCUCUGGGAUAACUCCGGGAAACCGGUGCUAAUACCGGAUACGACCUUCUCCGGCAUCUGAGAAGGUGGAAAGUUUUUCGGCUAGGGAUGGGCCCGCGGCCUAUCAGCUUGUUGGUGAGGUAACGGCCCACCAAGGCGACGACGGGUAG